AUUGAACGCUGGCGGCAGGCUUAACACAUGCAAGUCGAGCGGAGCGAGGGUGCUUGCACCUUAGCUUAGCGGCGGACGGGUGAGUAAUGCUUAGGAAUCUGCCUAUUAGUGGGGGACAACAUUCCGAAAGGGAUGCUAAUACCGCAUACGCCCUACGGGGGAAAGCAGGGGAUCUUCGGACCUUGCGCUAAUAGAUGAGCCUAAGUCGGAUUAGCUAGUUGGUGGGGUAAAGGCCUACCAAGGCGACGAUCUGUAGCGGGUCUGAGAGGAUGAUCCGCCACACUGGGACUGAGACACGGCCCAGACUCCUACGGGAGGCAGCAGUGGGGAAUAUUGGACAAUGGGCGGAAGCCUGAUCCAGCCAUGCCGCGUGUGUGAAGAAGGCCUUUUGGUUGUAAAACACUUUAAGCGAGGAGGAGGCUCUUAAGGUUAAUACCCUUGAUGAGUGGACGUUACUCGCAGAAUAAGCACCGGCUAACUCUGUGCCAGCAGCCGCGGUAAGAC
rnacentral:rRNA from 1 species